UCAAAUAAAAGUGGACAGUCCACUAAAAGCAGCAGAUAGUGAAAGAAAAAUAUGGAAAGAUUGAGAGUGUGGGUAAAUGGAAGAGAGUUUAGAGGUACAAAUAAGAUAUCAAAUAUCAGUGGAUUGGGGUGGGAGGAAUAGGAAAUGGGCAACGGGCGCCCGCACUUUAUCCGGUUUUCAAGAGGAACUUGG
ensembl:ncRNA C30H6.19 ncRNA